GACCUAAUAGCACAAGUGGUAGUGCACCUGCUGUGUAUGUAGUGGUAGGAUAUAGUAUUUGCAGGAGGUCCCUGUUCGAUUCGGGGUUAGGUCG